rnacentral:rRNA from 1 species
AAACAACCGGGAUUGCUUAGUAACGGCGAGUGAAGCGGCAAAAGCUCAAAUUUGAAAUCUGGCACCUUCGGUGUCCGAGUUGUAAUUUGAAGAAGUAACUUUGGGGCUGGUCCUUGUCUAUGUUCCUUGGAACAGGACGUCAUAGAGGGUGAGAAUCCCGUGUGGCGAGGAUCCCAGUUCUUUGUAAAGUGCUUUCGACGAGUCGAGUUGUUUGGGAAUGCAGCUCUAAGUGGGUGGUAAAUUCCAUCUAAAGCUAAAUAUUGGCGAGAGACCGAUAGCGAACAAGUACAGUGAUGGAAAGAUGAAAAGAACUUUGAAAAGAGAGUGAAAAAGUACGUGAAAUUGUUGAAAGGGAAGGGCAUUUGAUCAGACAUGGUGUUUUGCGACCCUCGCUCCUUGUGGGUGGGGAUCUCGCAGCUCACUGGGCCAACAUCGGUUUUGGCGGCAGGAUAAAACUUUGGGAAUGUAACUUGUCUUCGGAGAAGUAUUAUAGCCCAAGGCAAUACUGCCAGCCGGGACCGAGGACUGCGACUUUUGUCAAGGAUGUUGGCAUAAGCUGGUAAUCC